UACGGGGGGGGCAAGCGUUGUUCGGAAUUACUGGGCGUAAAGGGCUCGUAGGCGGCCAACUAAGUCAGACGUGAAAUCCCUCGGCUUAACCGGGGAACUGCGUCUGAUACUGGAUGGCUCGAGUUUGGGAGAGGGAUGCGGAAUCCCAGGUGUAGCGGUGAAAUGCGUAGAUAUCUGGAGGAACACCGGUGGCGAAGGCGGCAUCCUGGACCGAUACUGACGCUGAGGAGCGAAAGCCAGGGGAGCAAACGGA
rnacentral:rRNA from 1 species